ACAGAAACAGCAGCAGAGUAUAAAAUGAUGACACAACGCUCCUUUAGCUUUAUUUCUAUAACAGUUUAACCCUACAUAAGAGAGAGUAUUCCUAGAGACAGCCCUGUAAUACAGCAGCUUCUAGUCACUGACUCACCGAGUAAAUGCAACAAAUCCUCCCUGCAAGCGAUUAUACAACUCGCACUAAGGUGACAGUGGUUAUCCGUGUAGGCCUUGGCUUUUGACCCCAGUACCAUCGCCUCAUACACGUGCAGAGAUAAAAUUCAAUGAGUCACAUCGUAGUACAAGAAGUGCUAUAGAAAGAACCUUUGGUAUGUUAAAGAUGAGAUUUCGGGUGUUGGACAGGUCAGGGGGAGACUUGCAAUACUCACCAGAGAAGUGCAAUGACAUUAUUCUAGUAUGUUGCAUUUUGCAUAAUAUUGCAAUAUCUCAAGGCAACCAAGACGAAUUGUGUCCUGAGGAUCAUACAGAUGACAUCUAUGUCCCCCAAGACAUAUUAAACAGGCACACUACUAGGGCCGGUGUUCAAAACCGUAUAGAAAUUAUUGAAAGAUAUUUUUCAUAAACCAUGGAUAACACAGGACUUGUGUGAAAAUUGGACACGAAUAAUCCUCACUACUGUUAUAUGAUCAUACAGAUGAAAAAAAGUUGUGUUUAUUUGUUAAUUAAAGAAUUUUAAUUCUAUCAUUUGAAUAAAAAAAUUUAAAAAAAAUCAA